rnacentral:rRNA from 1 species
GCCUACGAUCAUACUGCUUUGAAAGCACCGCAUCCCGUCAGAUCUGCGCAGUUAAACAACGUUAGGCCGCAUCAGUACCUU